GAGUUUGAUUAUGGCUCAGGACGAACGCUGGCGGCGUGCUUAACACAUGCAAGUCGAACGGUAAGGCCCUUUCGGGGGUACACGAGUGGCGAACGGGUGAGUAACACGUGAGUAACCUGCCCUCAACUCUGGGAUAACGGCUGGAAACGGUUGCUAAUACUGGAUAUGAGCUGGGCCUGCAUGGGUCUGGUUGGAAAGCUUUUGCGGUUGGGGAUGGGCUCGCGGCCUAUCAGCUCGUUGGUGAGGUAGUGGCUCACCAAGGCUUCGACGGGUAGCCGGCCUGAGAGGGCGACCGGCCACAUUGGGACUGAGAUACGGCCCAAACUCCUACGGGAGGCAGCAGUGGGGAAUAUUGCACAAUGGGCGGAAGCCUGAUGCAGCAACGCCGCGUGCGGGAUGACGGCCUUCGGGUUGUAAACCGCUUUCAGUUGGGACGAAGCGUGA
rnacentral:rRNA from 1 species